GACCACAAAGGGAUAAAUAGAAAACAUCUGGAAUGAACUAUUUGAGAGAAGCAAAGGGAAAAAAAGAGUAUGGUUUGCAAGUGAAACAAAGUACAGAUGAUUUGGCUUGAUUUAGGCCAAGCCAAACACACACAUUAAACAUUGCACUUGGCCACAGUGAAUGGAGGGAGCAGUGGCCAACAUUGCAUCAGACACACAUUGUGGAUGGAGGAAAUGAGGUUUCUGAAUCCUGCAUUCAAAUCAGAACAACAAAGCUGCAGGCUGUGGGCAUUAUUUGUGUUUCCAGAAUGGAUCUGAGAGUGUGAGUGAUCCUGGGUGAGAUAAGGAAAGCCAAUCUUUAAGCUGGAAUUUCUAACACUAUCACAAAUAAGCAGAAUGGAAUCCAGAGGAGCUGCCCCCAAGGCAACCAGAUUUCAAGUC
rnacentral:lncRNA from 1 species